GACGAACGCUGGCGGCGUGCCUAAUACAUGCAAGUAGGACGCAGUUGCGAACGGGUGAGUAACGCGUAGGUAACUACCUAUUAGAGGGGGAUAACUAUUGGAAACGAUAGCUAAUACCGCAUACUAGUAGAUGGACCUGCGUUGUAUUGGCUAGUAGGUAGGGUAAUGGCCUACCUAGGCAACGAUACAUAGCCGACCGGGGAUGGUGAUCGGCCCAGCGGGGACUGAGACACGGGCCAGGCUCCUACGAGAGGCAGGAGUAGGGAAUCUGCGGCGAUGGGGGGAUCCCUGACCGAGCAACGCCGCUGGAGUGAAGAGGGUUUUCGGAUCGUAAAGCUGUGUUGUUAAGGAAGCGGUACUUAACCAGAAAGGGACGGCUAACUACGUGCCAGCAGCCGCUGUAAUUC
rnacentral:rRNA from 1 species